GUGUUAGUAGUAGUAAUAUUUUUGCAGUUAUCACAGAAACAAUCUCCAGGUACCUUGAAUAGGAUUUGGAGAUGGGCCUACACAUGAACAGUCAAGUUUGGAAUAAGAUAACCAAUCACAGCCUUGGUGAUUUGAGACCACACAUGGUUCAGGAACGGGACUGUCUCCCUGUCCCAACAUAUUUCUUCAUACUUCACACAGUAUGCACAAGAGACACACCCUAAGG